rnacentral:rRNA from 1 species
UAGGCAUGUGGUGGAUGCCUUGGCAGUCAGAGGCGAAGAAAGACGUGUGAGCCUGCGAAAAGCUUCGGGGAGGCGGCAACAAUCCUGUGAUCCGGAGAUGUCUGAAUGGGGGAACCCACUUACCAUAAGGUAGGUAUUGCAACAUGAAUACAUAGUGUUGCAAGGCGAACGAGGGGAAGUGAAACAUCUCAGUACCCUUAGGAAAAGAAAUCAAUUGAGAUUCCCUUAGUAGCGGCGAGCGAACUGGGAAAAGCCCAUUAAGCUUUAUAUGUUUUAGUGGAACACACUGGGAAGUGUGAACGUAGAGGGUGAUAUUCCCGUACACGAAAAGGCAUAUAGAGUGAAUUGAGUAGGGCGAGGCACGUGAAACCUUGUCUGAAUAUGGGGGGACCAUCCUCCAAGGCUAAAUACUCCUGACUGACCGAUAGUGAACCAGUACCGUGAGGGAAAGGCGAAAAGAACCCCUGUGAGGGGAGUGAAAUAGAUCCUGAAACCGCAUGCAUACAAGCAGUGGGAGCCGACUUGUUCGGUGACUGCGUACCUUUUGUAUAAUGGGUCAGCGACUUAUAUUCAGUAGCGAGGUUAACCGAAUAGGGGAGCCGUAGAGAAAUCGAGUCUUAAUAGGGCGUUUAGUUGCUGGGUAUAGACCCGAAACCAGGCGAUCUAUCCAUGAGCAGGUUGAAGGUUGGGUAACACUAACUGGAGGACCGAACCCACUGUCGUUGAAAAGCCAGGGGAUGACUUGUGGAUAGGGGUGAAAGGCUAAUCAAGCCUGGUGAUAGCUGGUUCUCCCCGAAAGCUAUUUAGGUAGCGCCUCGGACGAAUACCAUUGGGGGUAGAGCACUGUUUCGGCUAGGGGGUCAUCCCGACUUACCAAACCGAUGCAAACUCCGAAUACCAAUGAGUACUAUCCGGGAGACAGACUGCGGGUGCUAACGUCCGUAGUCAAGAGGAAAACAAUCCAGACCGCCAGCUAAGGCCCCAAAAUCAUAGUUAAGUGGGAAACGAUGUGGGAAGGCAUAGACAGCUAGGAGGUUGGCUUAGAAGCAGCCACCCUUUAAAGAAAGCGUAAUAGCUCACUAGUCGAGUCGGCCUGCGCGGAAGAUGUAACGGGGCUAAAACUAUGUGCCGAAGCUGCGGAUUUGACAUUAGUCAAGUGGUAGGGGAGCGUUCUGUAAGCCGAUGAAGGUGUAUUGAGAAGUAUGCUGGAGGUAUCAGAAGUGCGAAUGCUGACGUGAGUAACGACAAAACGGGUGAAAAACCCGUUCGCUGAAAGACCAAGGGUUCCAGUCCAACGUUAAUCGGGGCUGGGUGAGUCGACCCCUAAGGCGAGGCCGAGAGGCGUAGUCGAUGGGAAAUUGGUUAAUAUUCCAAUACUUCUGUGUAAUGCGAUGAGAGGACGGAGAAGGUUAAGUCAGCCUGGCGUUGGUUGUCCAGGUGGAAGACCGUAGGCAUGCAUCUUAGGCAAAUCCGGGGUGCUCUAUGCUGAGAGUCGAUAGCAAGCUGUACUUGUACAGUGAAGUGGCUGAUACCAUGCUUCCAGGAAAAGUCUCUAAGCUUCAGUUACACAGGAAUCGUACCCGAAACCGACACAGGUGGUCAGGUCGAGUAGACCAAAGCGCUUGAGAGAACUCUGCUGAAGGAACUAGGCAAAAUGGUACCGUAACUUCGGGAGAAGGUACGCUGCUGACGGUGAUGGGACUUGCUCCCUGAGCGGUUGGCAGCCGCAGAAACCAGGCCGCUGCAACUGUUUAUUAAAAACAUAGCACUCUGCAAACACGAAAGUGGACGUAUAGGGUGUGAUGCCUGCCCGGUGCUGGAAGGUUAAUUGAUGGGGUUAGCGUAAGCGAAGCUCUUGAUCGAAGCCCCAGUAAACGGCGGCCGUAACUAUAACGGUCCUAAGGUAGCGAAAUUCCUUGUCGGGUAAGUUCCGACCUGCACGAAUGGCAUAAUGAUGGCGGCGCUGUCUCCAGCAGAGGCUCAGUGAAAUCGAAAUCGCUGUGAAGAUGCAGUGUACCCGCGGCUAGACGGAAAGACCCCGUGAACCUUUACUGCAGCUUGACAUUGAACUUUGACCUUACUUGUGUAGGAUAGGUGGGAGGCUUUGAAGUUGGAACGCUAGUUCCAAUGGAGCCGUCCUUGAAAUACCACCCUGGUAAUGUUGAGGUUCUAACUCUGUCCCGUAAUCCGGGACGAGGACCAUGUCUGGUGGGUAGUUUGACUGGGGCGGUCUCCUCCUAAAGAGUAACGGAGGAGUACGAAGGUGCGCUCAGCGUGGUCGGAAAUCACGCGUAGAGUAUAAAGGCAAAAGCGCGCUUAACUGCGAGACCCACAAGUCGAGCAGGUACGAAAGUAGGUCUUAGUGAUCCGGUGGUUCUGUAUGGAAGGGCCAUCGCUCAACGGAUAAAAGGUACUCUGGGGAUAACAGGCUGAUACCGCCCAAGAGUUCAUAUCGACGGCGGUGUUUGGCACCUCGAUGUCGGCUCA